AAGACUAUACUUCACAGAAUCAUUUCUGUCUGUCUUAAUUUCCAUUUUUGGAAAUCGAUUCGCGAUGACGAGGUAUAUCGUUUUAUCUGACAGCGUGAGGUUUAAGAAGUUCAUUUCUAAUUUGGUCUUAUGGUAUAUUAGAAAUGAAGAAGAAGUUUCUUCGAAAAUCGUUCGCUUACAACGGAUAAAAGGGCUGCUGAGUGGU